rnacentral:rRNA from 1 species
AACGAACGCUGGCGGCAGGCUUAACACAUGCAAGUCGAACGGGUGCAGCAAUGCAUCAGUGGCAGACGGGUGAGUAACGACGUGGGAACCUUCCUAGGGGUACGGAACAACUCAGGGAAACUUGAGCUAAUACCGUAUACGUCCGUAAGGAGAAAGAUUCAUCGGCCCCUAGGACGGGCCCGCGUCGGAUUAGGUAGUUGG